CCUACGGGUGACAGCAGUCGAGAAUCAUUCACAAUGGUGGAAACCCUGAUGGUGCGACGCCGCGUGGGGGAAUGAAGUUCUUCGGAUUGUAAACCUCUGUCAUGUGGGAGCAAAUUAAAAAGAUAGUACCACAAGAGGAAGAGACGGCUAACUCUGUUCCAGUAGCCCCGGUAAUACAGAGGUCUCAAGCGUUGUUCGGAAUCACUGGGCGUAAAGCGUGCGUAGGCUGUUUCGUAAGUCGUGUGUGAAAGGCGCGGGCUCAACCCGCGGACGGCACAUGAUACUGCGAGACUAGAGUAGUGGAGGGGGAACCGGAAGUCGCGGUGUAGCAGUGAAAUGCGUAGAUAUCGAGAAGAACACUCGUGGCGAAGGCAGGUUCCUGGACAUUAACUGACGCUGAGGCACGAAGGCCAGGGGAGCGAAAGGGAUUAGAUACCCGAGUAGUC
rnacentral:rRNA from 1 species